UCAGAGUUUUUGUCCUGGCUCAGAUUGAACGCUGGCGGCAUGCCUUACACAUGCAAGUCGAACGGCAGCAUGAUCUAGCUUGCUAGAUUGAUGGCGAGUGGCGAACGGGUGAGUAAUACAUCGGAACGUGCCCUGUAGUGGGGGAUAACUAGUCGAAAGAUUAGCUAAUACCGCAUACGACCUGAGGGUGAAAGUGGGGGACCGCAAGGCCUCAUGCUAUAGGAGCGGCCGAUGUCUGAUUAGCUAGUUGGUGGGGUAAAGGCCCACCAAGGCGACGAUCAGUAGCUGGUCUGAGAGGACGAUCAGCCACACUGGGACUGAGACACGGCCCAGACUCCUACGGGAGGCAGCAGUGGGGAAUUUUGGACAAUGGGCGAAAGCCUGAUCCAGCAAUGCCGCGUGUGUGAAGAAGGCCUUCGGGUUGUAAAGCACUUUUGUCCGGAAAGAAAUGGCUCUGGUUAAUACCUGGGGUCGAUGACGGUACCGAAGA
rnacentral:rRNA from 1 species